rnacentral:tRNA from 1 species
CCUCCUUUCUAAGGAUGAGUGAAAGUAAAAUUUCACUCUAAAUAAUAUACAUCGGUAAUGUUGACCGUCCUCAUUUCUCUUCUUAAAGUAAUGUUUCCUUCUUGUAGGGCCGGUAGCUCAGUUGGUUAGAGCACACCCUUGAUAAGGGUGGGGUCGAAAGUUCGAGUCUUUCUCGGCCCACCAAAAACCUAAAUGGGGGAUUAGCUCAUCUGGGAGAGCGCCUGAUUUGCAUUCAGGAGGUAGCAGGUUCGAUCCCUGUAUCCUCCACCAGGAAACAUUUAGUUAUUAAAACUGUAAAUAAAAAUAAUUUAUAUCAAUAUCUAUAUCCGAACAUUAAAAGUUAUUAUUUAAUGUUCAAAAUAAAAAUUUGAUCACAACAU